UCAAGUGAAUAAGUGCACACGGUGGAUGCCUUGGCGACAACAGGCGAAGAAGGACGUGGAAAUCUGCGAAAAGCCCCGGGAAGCUGAUAACAAGCAAUGAUCCGGGGAUCUCCGAAUGGGGCAACCCGACCUUAGGGUCAUCCGUAGUUGAAUACAUAGACUGCGGAAGCGAACCGGGAGAACUGAAACAUCUAAGUACCCCGAGGAAAAGAAAUCAACCGAGAUUCCGCAAGUAGCGGCGAGCGAACGCGGAUUAGCCCAAUUAAGUUGCGCAUGAGUUAGCAGAACACUCUGGAAAGGGUGGCCAUAGAAGGUGAUAGCCCGGUAUGUGAAAGCCAUGCGUAAUGAAUCGAGUAGGGCGGGACACGUGAAAUCCUGUCUGAAUAUGGGGGGACCAUCCUCCAAGGCUAAAUACUCGUUGUCGACCGAUAGUGAACCAGUACCGUGAGGGAAAGGCGAAAAGAACCCUGGUGAAGGGAGUGAAAUAGAACCUGAAACCGUGUGCAUACAAGCAGUCAGAGCAUAUGAAGAUAUGUGAUGGCGUACCUUUUGUAUAAUGGGUCAGCGAGUUACAUUCAGUGGCGAGGUUAACCGAAUAGGGGAGCCGUAGCGAAAGCGAGUCUUAAUAGGGCGAUAAGUCUCUGGGUGUAGACCCGAAACCGGGCGAUCUAUCCAUGGGCAGGUUGAAGGUUGAGUAACAUCAACUGGAGGACCGAACCCACGCAUGUUGAAAAAUGCGGGGAUGACCUGUGGAUAGGAGUGAAAGGCUAAACAAGCUCGGAGAUAGCUGGUUCUCCCCGAAAACUAUUGAGGUAGUGCCUUGUAGAUUGACUUACGGGGGUAGAGCACUGUUUCGGCUAGGGGGUCAUACCGACUUACCAACCCGAUGCAAACUCCGAAUACCGUAAAGUUUUACUACAGGAGACACACGGCGGGUGCUAACGUCCGUCGUGAAGAGGGAAACAACCCAGACCGCCAGCUAAGGUCCCGAAAUGACAGUUCAGUGGGAAACGAAGUGGGAAGGCUUAGACAGCUAGGAGGUUGGCUUAGAAGCAGCCAUCCUUUAAAGAAAGCGUAAUAGCUCACUAGUCGAGUCGUCCUGCGCGGAAGAUUUACCGGGGCUAAACUGUCUACCGAAGCUGCGGAUUUGCAUGAAGAUGCAAGUGGUAGGGGAGCGUUGUGUAAGCCGAAGAAGGUGUGUUGAGAAGCAUGCUGGAGGUAUCACAAGUGCGAAUGCUGACAUGAGUAACGAUAAUGCGGGUGAAAAACCCGCACACCGAAAACCCAAGGUUUCCUGCGCAACGCUAAUCGGCGCAGGGUGAGUCGGCCCCUAAGGCGAGGCGGAAACGCGUAGUCGAUGGGAAACAGGUUAAUAUUCCUGUACUGAUCAUAAUUGCGAUGGGGGGACGGAGAAAGCUAGGCCAGCACACUGUUGGAUGUGUGUUUAAGCGCGUAGGUUGGGGACUUAGGCAAAUCCGGGUUCCUAAGACUGAAACGUGAUGACGAGUUUCUACGGAAACGAAGUGGUUGAUGCUCUGCUUCCAGGAAAAGCCUCUAAGCUUCAGAUUAUGACAACCGUACCCCAAACCGACACAGGUGGGUAGGAAGAGAAUUCCAAGGUGCUUGAGAGAACUCGGGUAAAGGAACUCGGCAAAAUGAUACCGUAACUUCGGGAUAAGGUAUGCCUCUGAUGGUGAAUAGCUGUUGGAGGCCGCAGAGAAUAGGCCGCUGCGACUGUUUAUCAAAAACACAGCACUCUGCAAACACGCAAGUGGACGUAUAGGGUGUGACGCCUGCCCGGUGCCGGAAGGUUAAUUGAUGGGGUGCAAGCUCUUGAUCGAAGCCCCGGUAAACGGCGGCCGUAACUAUAACGGUCCUAAGGUAGCGAAAUUCCUUGUCGGGU
rnacentral:rRNA from 1 species